rnacentral:rRNA from 1 species
UGGGGAAUAUUGCACAAUGGGGGAAACCCUGAUGCAGCGACGCCGCGUGAAGGAAGAAGUAUCUCGGUAUGUAAACUUCUAUCAGCAGGGAAGAUAGUGACGGUACCUGACUAAGAAGCCACGGCUAACUACGUGCCAGCAGCCGCGGUAAUACGUAGGUGGCAAGCGUUGUCCGGAAUUACUGGGUGUAAAGGGAGCGCAGGCGGGAAAUCAAGUUGGAUGUGAAAUGUCGGGGCUUAACCCCGGAACUGCAUCCAAAACUGAUAUUCUUGAGUGAAGUAGAGGUAGGCGGAAUUCCGAGUGUAGCGGUGAAAUGCGUAGAUAUUCGGAGGAACACCAGUGGCGAAGGCGGCCUACUGGGCUUUAACUGACGCUGAGGCUCGAAAGUGUGGGGAGCAAACAGGAUUAGAUACCCUGGUAGU